AUGGAAUUGGGACCCAACUCUAGAUUUUGCAAAGAGGCAUGUGUAUAUUCAAGUAUGCAUAAUAAUAUAACAUAUUGUAUAUUGACAUAUAUUAUAGGAGAUAAUACCCCAAAAUGUCAGGUUAUUGUUCUCAGGAGAGGGAGUAGGCUAAAGGAAUAUAGAAGUGGCAUUGGACAUUAUGUCAUAUUUUUAAAAUCUGGAAUAAUUAAUGAAAUGUUAAUUUAUUUAAUCUUUUGUUGUUUGUUUGUUACAUUUUACAGUUGUCUUUAGACAAAUAUCAAUACAUUGCUCUCCAAAAGAAGUAUUUUGUUGUUUGGAUUUGAUUUUCUGGUUUUGUUUGGUUUUGGUUUUGGUUUAUUUAUUUAUUUCUUUGUUUUUUGAAAAUAUAUUUUAAAAAUAUAUUUAAAAAGUAAGAGGAGCAGAAUUUGAGGUAGUAGAAGUUAGAAAAUGAAGAGGCUACUCUGUUUGCUUUUUUUUCCUAGCGUUGAAAUAGUCUCACAACAUACAACUACCUAAGGAUAAUAUUAACAAAUGUUUAAUUACUAAUACACCAAUGACACCAAAUAGGCAUAGACAUCAACCAGUCAGUCCAGAUGCUAGUCACAGGUGAUGGGUUUUUAUAAAUGAGAUACUGGUACACAAUUCCUGUCAGUAUUUUAUGACUCAUAAGUCCCAUUUUAUACAAGGAGCACUUAUUUUGAAUUGGUCACUAUUUUAUAAGCAUAUUAUUACACUUAGUCAUUCUAACUCUCAUUUUACAGAUGAGAAAACUGAGGCCUAAGAAGUUUAAAUAGCUUCACAAUAUUUCACAGCUAGUAAUUGGCAAAGUUAGAACUUUAACCCAGGUCUGAGACCUCAGAACCAAUAAUAUUAAGCAUAAAACAUUGUCUCAUAUUUACUGACAAAAUAAGAUGUAUUGGCCAUUGAUAAGACUGUCAUUAUUGUUUGGAUGAUUUGGCUUGGUCUGUGUGGGUUUGAUUGGAUUUAGUUUCAUUUUAAGCCAACAAUCCUCCCCCCAAAUUUUUGUAAUCAUCAUUUUGACUUAAAUCAACUUUGUUUUACAUCAAAGCAAAGAUGUUUCAGCAUAUUUAACUUGUCAACAGCAAUUUUAUUGAUUAAAUUUCACAAAAAUAAGUAUUAAGGUUCAUUCCAGAGACAUCUAUUGGCCAUUUUCAGUAUUUCUACAACAUUCUGAGGGAAUCUAGAAUAUUUCCUUUACAUCACAAUGAAAUCAAACCAAAUAUUAUGAAACAAGCUAGUAUAUCGCUAUUUUAAAAUAAGCAAAUGGGUCACCUAUAAUUUCUUUGAAAAACUUUCUAAGUCAGAAUCCAGUCCAGUAAUUAGUACAAAAUUGGCCCAGAUAAGUAUGAUUGUAGUGAGGGUUCAUCAAAUAAAUAGCAGUGGUUAAAAUUCUAUGCCAACUUUCUACUUAUAUUUGCAUAUAAGAAAUGAACAGAUUUAGAGAUUUCCGGUUGAGGAUCAGUGAGCUUCUUCAUUUAGGAGGCAGAAAUCACACCAACUAAUUUGCUCAAAGAUCAAUUCCAGGCUGUUACGGCAACCUGAAAGUUUAAUCCCAUCGGGAUUCCAAGAUUGUAGCCAAUGCAUACAAAUAAACACCACCAUAGGAUGGAGACUCCUAGAGUCUGAACAACUCAUUUUGGAAAUGGCAGAUUGGUUUUGAAGCGAGAACUAUUUUUAUCAUUUGUUCACUUCAUAUCAAAAUGUUUAAGCAGAUUUUUUUUUAACUCUUAAAUGUGUCAAUGUGCUAUAUAUUUUAUAGAUUGCGUGUAUGUUGUUUUGCUGUAUUUUAAAGUACUAGUUUUGAGGUUUUUAAAAACUUUCAUUUUAAGUUCAGGGAUACACGUGUAGGUUUGUUAUAUAGGUAAACUUGUGUCAUAAGGUUUUUUGUAAAGAUUACUUCAUCACACAAGUAUUAUGCCUAGUACCCACUAGUUAUUUUUCCUGAUCAUCUCCCUCUUCCUACCCUCCACCCUCCAUUAGACCCCAGUGUGUGUUGUUCCCCUUUAUGUGUCCAUGUUUUCUCAUCAUUAAGCUCUCACUUAUAAGUGAGAACAUGUGGUAUUUGGUUUUCUCUUCCUGCACUAGUUUGCUAAGGAUAAUGACCUCCAGCUCCAUCCAUGUUUCUGUGAAGGACAUGGUUUCAUUCUUUUUUAUGGCUGCAUAGUAUUCCAUGGUGUAUAUGUAUCACAUUUUCUUUAUCCAGUCUAUCACUGAUGACCAUUUAGGUUGUUUCCAUGUCUUUGCUAUUAUAAAUAGUGCUGCAAUGAACAUAGGUGUGCAUCUCUCUUUAUAAUAGAAUGAUUUGUAUCCCUUAGGGUAUAUACCCAGUAACGAGACUGCUGGGUGAAAUGAGAUUUCUGCUUUUAGGUCUUUGAGGAAUUGCCACAGUGUCUUCCCAAUGGUUAAACUAAUUUACACUCCCACCAACAGUGUAAAAGCUUUCCUUUUUCUCUGCAACCUCGCCAGCAUGUUAUUGUUUUGACUUUUUAAUACUAGUCAAUCUGACUGGUGUGAGGUGGUAUCUCACUGUAAUUUUUAUUUGUAUUUCUCUAAUGAUCAGUGAUGUUGAGCUUUUUUUCAUAUGAUUGUUGGCUACAUGUAUGUCUUCUUUUGGAAACUAUCUGUUCACAUCCUUUGCACACUUUUUGAUGGGGUUGUUUUUUUCUUGUAAAUCUGUUUUAACUUCCUUGUAGUAGAUAUUAGACCUUUGUCAGAUGUAUAGCUUGCAAAAAUUUUCUCUCAUUCUGUAGGUUGUCUGUUUAGUGUGCUGAUAGUUUCCUUUGGUGUGCAGAAGCUCUUGAGUUUAAUUAGAUCCCAUCUGUCAAUUUUUGUUUUGUUGCAAUUGUUUUUGGCAUCUCUGUCAUGAAACCUUUGCCUGUUCCUAUGUCCUGAAUGGUAUUGCCUAGGUUUUCUCCCAGGGUUUUUAUAGUUUUGGGUUUUACAUUUAAGUCUAAAGUACUGUUUUAAACUACAUGUGUGGCAUGAGUCCAAAUUAAUCAGGAAUGACUUAAAGUCUGCCGUAGUAGCUGAUAUUAAAGCUGUCAUUUAUUUAAAUAGCACUAACCUACAGAGAGAGAUUGUGGCAUUGGAGAAGGCCACAGAAUUCCUAGCAGCUGUAUUAUUAAAAGUAGAGGCAGGUCAGGGCAGUGGAAGAAGGGCAGGGUAUAGUCAUCUAAAAGGCUUAUGUUAAAAAUUAGCCCAUGUUAAUAUUAUUGAAAUUCCUUAAAUUUUGAAAAUUUAUAUAUAUAUAAUAAUCUGUAAUUUAAUUUUAAUGUGUCAUGUGAUAAAAAUCAUAAAAAGGAUGUAAAUAAUAUUACAUCCUGAAAUUUAAAAUUAAAUGUGAAUUUCUUAUAAAUUUCAGUACUAAAUAUUUGGAAGGAUUUUACUUUGAUAUAUUAUUUCUUUUGCUGUAAUAUUUUUGUUUCCUUUUCCUUUUACUCAGCUCAUCCUUCCCCAUUCCUAUCCUAAUCAUUAGCUAAUUAAUAUUAACAGACUGAAGUUAAUUCCUUUACAUUUCCCAUUAUACAUUUUUUAUAAAAUAUAAAAUAAUAUACAGAAAUAUAAGAAAAAAUAUUGAAAAAAGACAAAUUGUUAAAAUGAUUUACUUUCCUACUUGCCUUUCACUGGUGUCAGGCCUGCAUCUUAGUCUGAAAGUUCUUGCCAAACUACUGUUUCUCUUCUUUAUCUUUUAUGCACAUUUUGACUAUUAAAUUUCUUAAAUGUAUAAUCCCGUCUUCCCAUCCUCUUCCUUUGGAGUCCAAACCACUAUAAUUAUUUCAAAAUUUUCACUAUUUCAAUAAUAUUGUGAUGAAAAUAUUUAUGCGGGCUAGAUGUGAUGGCUCAUGCCUGUGAUCCUAGCUCUUUGGGAGGUCAAGGUAGGAUGAUUGAUGGAGCCCAAGAAUUCAAGACCAUCCUGUUCAUAACAUGAUGAGACCCCAUCUCUACAAAAAUAAAAUAGAAAAAAUAAAAGUCAGAC
rnacentral:lncRNA from 1 species